UAAGGGAAAUCAAAGUCAGAAGAACUGAAAAUUCUAUGCACUGUGUCUACAAGAAGUAAAAGCUGCCUAUUCCUACAACAAGUAUGCAUAUGAGCAUAUCACAUAAGGAUAAGGAUCCACGAGUGGGUAUUACUUUCAGAACGUUUGUUAGAAUCAUUCUUUAUACGAACUUGACUGUACUUUCAGCCACAGAGCUACAAAUUUCAUGGGCUAAUGCAUGAUAUGAUAGCAUAAUCUAAUCUGGAGGACCUUCAGACUUGGCUCUCUGCUGGGGUGAAGGCUCUGAAGUGGUUUGCCGCAGAUUCAGAGGCCAUUUUUCUUACCAAUUUGUACAUGCUCUACAGUUCAGAGCUGGUUUUUAUUUUUCCUUAAAGAAAUCCGGUUUAAUUUUCUGCUGGUUUUUGCUUUAUCUUCUUUAGCUCAUAUUCUUCUAUAACAUGGUGCUUUUUUUAUCUCUUAUGAACGUAAGUAGCAUGCAUCGCAGUGCUCGACAGUGACAAGCAGGUUCUGCAGGGAACCAUGGUGCUAUGUGUCAAUGGCUUAAAAUUGCAGUCAGGAGGAUGUUGUCAGGCCUCCUGGGACGGAUAUAUCCUACCAAGUGAAAGUUGUCGCGGCGGAGACUGACUUUACUUCUUCUUCAGGUGUUCUAUUCUAUUUAGUUAAAUUAAUUGGAGGUGACCUAAUUGAAGCAUUUGUUUCUCAUGAUCAGAUUGGCCGAUGAUACAGCAUACACUCCAACUUGGCUUGGCAAGGUACAUUAAAAUGUAUCAUUCUGUAGUAUGAAAGAUGUAACUCGAUCCACUGUGUUCGAUCAUAAGGUGACAAUGGCGGCACAACAGCCGGGAGGAGACGGUGGCGAGCCCCCCUCCUCCAACUGUAGCAAUCCACCAGGCGGCGGCACGAACGACCUUCAUCUCUAGAUGCUUCCCUGCACACCGAUGAGAUUCACGCCGAUGGUCUUGACUUAUGACCAAUGUCCUUCAGGCCUGAAGUCCCUGUAGUACCCAAGGUCGAGUGAUCACUGCUGCGCCUCGCUGUGUCCUAACUCCUGACCAAUGUCCUUCAGCCUCCGGUAGCUCAUUCACUUUUUAGUGUUCCAUCUCCUUCUGUCAAGGUUUAAUGUUCUUGUACUAUUUUUCUGAGACAUGGUCACGGUUUCUUUAUGCAUGAUUUUUUAAAGAAAUAAAAAAUAUUGUUAUGUAAUGUUUAGUAUCUCUUUGUACCUCUGAUUUAUGCACCAAACUAGAGGGGGGCCAUGAAGGCAUGGAUGUUCAAUAUUUUUUCCAAUAAUAUAUGGUGAAAAAACAAUUUGAUUUUCGUAUACUUGUGUCUUUCAUGUUCACUUGGUCCAUUAGUUUAAUUUUUCUUGAACUUCUAUUUGGAAGGAGGCAAAUUGAUCAAAUGUCACCAUCUCACAUCUCAGUGCCAGUCUAUUGCAACAUUGGCACAUAUUAUUCUGAUAUGUAAUAUUCUGAAUAAUAAUUUGAUUAUGUCCAAGUGAACAGUAGAAGAAUUAUCUGUCAGUGCAUAGAGUAUUUUCGACUUUCACCAUCGAGUCUUUGUAGGUAAGUUGUAUUUGUUUAAUCUACUGACACGUGCAUAUUUGACAUGGAAUGCAGGAAGGGCCACAACUAAUUGAUGUUCUCAUAAUGCUACCAUAAUACUAUGGUUCUCCUUUCUCAGUUCUGGGAAAGAGUUCACUUCAAGAAUUUGCUUUUCUUUUUGUUCACUUUCAAUUCCCCUUUGUCAAUCCCUCUCUCAUUUGACUGCAGGAUACUGUGCUUACUCCCAUCUCUCGUUUGAUCACAGGCUUUCAAAGGUGGGGCAUGGGCUCAGAGGCACAAAUUGGACUGACAAAUGCUGAUAGAGGAGGAGAACACCAUGCAAGUACGUAUGUGCCAAAAUUGAUAGAUUUACCUCUAGGCAUUGCAUUAUUUGCCGCAGUGUAGGUGUACUCUUUAAGGAAUUUGUAGGAGAUAGCAAAGGACUAGAUGAAGGAUCCAUUCCUUUUAGAAACAGGUGGAAAGCAUUCAGUUUAGUAAAUAUUGUAUAUACCCUUCUGAAAGAACAUGCGGUGCCCCCAUGUUUGGUUUUGGUAAUUGAUGAUAAUCUCUAUGGACUAAUGGUUGCCUUGAGUUAUAUUUGAAGGAUUUGUCCAUAGGCAUUUCUUGAAGUCCAUGUGGUGGUUUCAAG